rnacentral:rRNA from 1 species
UCUGGUCUUGGGACACUGUCAGGUGGGCAGUUUGACUGGGGCGGUCGCCUCCCAAAAGGUAACGGAGGCGCUCAAAGGUUCUCUCAGUACGGUCGGAAAUCGUACGUAGAGUGUAAAGGCAAAAGAGAGCUUGAUUGCAAGACAUACAGGUCGAGCAAGGAUGAAAAUCGGACUUAGUGAUCCGGUGGUUCUGCGUGGAAGGGCCAUCGCUCAACGGAUAAAAGCUACCCUGGGGAUAACAGGCUUAUCUCCCCCAAGAGUCCACAUCGACGGGGAGGUUUGGCACCUCGAUGUCGGCUCAUCACAUCCUGGGGCUGUAGUAGGUCCCAAGGGUUGGGCUGUUCGCCCAUUAAAGUGGUACGCGAGCUGGGUUCAGAACGUCGUGAGACAGUUCGGUCCCUAUCCGUCGCAGGCGUAGGAAAUUUGAGAAGACCUGUCCUUAGUACGAGAGGACCGGGAUGGACGUACCUCUGGUGUACCAGUUGUCCUGCCAAGGGCAUGGCUGGGUAGCUAUGUACGGAAUGGAUAAGCGCUGAAAGCAUCUAAGCGCGAAGCCAACUUCAAGAUAAGAUUUCCCACCGCAAGGGUAAGACCCCAGAAAGACUAUCUGGUUGAUAGGUCGAAGGUGUAAGUGCAGCAAUGUAUUUAGCUUAUCGAUACUAAUAGGUCGAGGACUUGACCAAUAUU